rnacentral:lncRNA from 1 species
GUGCGCUCUGAGCGCCUGCGGGUGGUGGCCGGGAGCCCUGGGUGGGCGACCAGGUCCCGCCCUGAGCCUAGAGCCCUGGAAGUGCCCCCUGCCUGUGCACACGGCAAGCAUGGAGGAAAACCACCUGGAAGGGGAUGAAAUUUAGCUCCUUAUGGCUGUGUAGGGAAGGAAGGGAUUGGUGGAUUUUUUUUUUUCUUCUUGCCUUAAUAAAGUUAGGGGGUUCAAAUGGCUGGUUGACUUGUAUAGACACUAAAUAUAGGCUGAGAGAAACAGCCUAGAAAAACUCAUGUUUAACAGUAUUUGUGCCAAGCUAGUUAGUUUAGCACCCUUCGUGCUCCAGUGUCCCGCCCCAGCACCUACACCCUACACAUCUGAUCAAAGUGUUCAUCUUUAAGAUCCAUAGGGGUGAAUGGUUUGUUCCUCCAGAAUUUGAAAUAGUUCCUCACCCACAGCUUGAUAAUCUGUCAAGAGAAAGUGUAGCCUAGGGAACGAUAAGGAGGAGGCAGCUUUUUUCAGUACAUUUUGCCUCAUGAGAUCGACAAUAAGAAAUACCUUGAUAGUUGGUUGAUUCAAAUGUCCCAAAGCAGAGUCCUCUUUUUGGUUAAUUAAGGCUUUCACUAACUAACCAAGCCUAGUGUAGUAACAUCAGGCUGGUAACUAAUUCUAGUACUUGAGCCCUGGAGGCAGGACUUGGCCCUUCUAGGCCAACCUGGUCUACACAGACAAACCUCAUAAAACAAACAAAUGAGGGGAAAAAAAAGAAAGAAUAAAAUAUUAAUUCUCAGUUUGUAGUCAAAGCACAUUGAAAGCUGAGGAUUGCUUGAGUCCAGGAGUUCAAAACCAGCCUGUGAGACACUCCACCUCAGAAAGUUAAUUUCUGUCAAAGGAAGGGGUAUACUUUCUCUUUCCUCUCCUUCUUUCAUCCCUUGUUUGCUUCCUUCCUUCCUUCCUUCCUUCCAUCCUUCCUUCCUUCCUCCCUCCCUUCCUUUUUUCUGUUUUUGUUUGUUUGGGAUAGGUUCUCACAUGUCUUGGCUGGUUUUUGACUUCUCUAGUAGACCAGGCUUGGUCUUGAACCCUUGCUCUUCCUGUCUCAUACUCCCAAGAGCAUUCCACACUUUGCUGGAAAAUGUUAUUUUACACUGUACUCUGAAGAAAGCAAGAGUCACCCAUUCAAAUGACAAGAGGCUGGCUCUCCAUGCGAUGAACAGACCUGUCCAGGUUCUAAUUGAAAUUCCAUCCUUCAUUUUGAAGAAAGAUAAUGCCACAGAGAAAUAGCUGUCCUGAGGUCUAGCUCACUGCCUCGCUAGGUAAGUGAAUCAGGGACAAAUUCUUAUACUAAUGUACCUUUAAAUUGUCCUGUGCUGUUUUUUUUUUUUCCAACUACAUCUUUUACAAUAAAAGCUGUACAUGCCCAAAGGCUUUACCAUCAGCCACCUUUAUAUCCUCAAAGUGUCUCUGUG